rnacentral:rRNA from 1 species
CCACUUGUUGCUUCGGCGCGCGCUUCGGCGCCGCCGAGGACACUUAAACUCUUUGUUUUUAUAAGCAUUUCUGAGUGGCCGAAAGGCAAAAAUACAAAUGAAUCAAAACUUUCAACAACGGAUCUCUUGGUUCUGGCAUCGAUGAAGAACGCAGCGAAAUGCGAUAAGUAAUGUGAAUUGCAGAAUUCAGUGAAUCAUCGAAUCUUUGAACGCACAUUGCGCCCGCCAGCAUUCUGGCGGGCAUGCCUGUUCGAGCGUCAUUUCAACCCUCGAGCCCGACUCUUUUGAGGACGGCUCGGCGUUGGGGGACGGCAGACUCCCCCCGGCAUCUCGCCGGGGACGCCGCCCCCGAAAUCUAGUGGCGGCCCUCCGAGGCGACCUCUGCGUAGUAACUUGUUCUCGCACCGGAAAGCUCAGAGCGGCCACGCCGUAAAACCCCAACUUUUUUCAGGUGACCUCGA